rnacentral:tRNA from 1 species
GAAGUAUGAUGUUCAAGAAAAAGCUGCUAACUUUUAUCUUUUAAUGGUUAAAUUCCAU